UACGGAGGAUCCAAGCGUUAUCCGGAUUUAUUGGGUUUAAAGGGUGCGUAGGAGGCCUGUUAAGUCAGGGGUGAAAGACGGUAGCUCAACUAUCGCAGUGCCCUUGAUACUGAUGGGCUUGAAUGAACUAGAGGUAGGCGGAAUGUGACAAGUAGCGGUGAAAUGCAUAGAUAUGUCACAGAACACCAAUUGCGAAGGCAGCUUACUAUGGUUUGAUUGACACUGAGGCACGAAAGCGUGGGGAUCAAACAGG
rnacentral:rRNA from 1 species